UUGUCAUUGUUGCAGUAUAUAUACAUAAAGACAUACAGAAUGAUCCUUACAACAGUAAACAUUUGGUCAGUGAACAAUAGAAAUCCACGGAUGUAUAAAGGAUUAUUAAUACUAUUUUGAUCGUCUAGAUUGUUAACGCCUGAGAUUUAUGAAAUCUGUAAAAAAGUGUAUUAAGUGAAAAUUGUGGUACACAAAUAAGACGUGAUGCACGCAAUUAAGUACACGUGUAUAUCGGUUCGAAAAGUGUCAUCGAGUGCAAUGCAUAAAUUUCAAUUAAUAUCAAUACUUAAAUAGUCUGUGCAAUAUAUAUACGUAUUUAAUUUUUAUUAUAAGUAAAAAUGUAUGCAAAUGUCUAGAACAAAUUUGAACCACAUUCUGUUCCUACAUACAAAUUAUUAUUUAUU